rfam:Perkinsela sp. CCAP 1560/4 XT18scaffold_76, whole genome shotgun sequence.
GGCCUCAUGGCGCAAUGGUAGCGCAUUAGACUUCGGAUCUAAGGGUUGCAGGUUCGAGUCCUGCUGUGGUCA